UACGUAGGGAGCAAGCGUUGUCCGGAAUCAUUGGGCGUAAAGCGCGCGUAGGCGGCCCGAUAAGUCCGUUGUGAAAGUCAAAGGCUCAACCUUUGAAUGCCGAUGGAUACUGUCGGGCUAGAGUCCGGAAGAGGCGAGUGGAAUUCCUGGUGUAGCGGUGGAAUGCGCAGAUAUCAGGAGGAACACCGAUAGCGAAGGCAGCUCGCUGGGACGGUACUGACGCUGAGGCGUGAAAGCGUGGGGAGCGAACAGG
rnacentral:rRNA from 1 species